ensembl:snoRNA
CCUAGCAAUGAUGAGGCUCUUGCCCUCACUGAGAACAUGGUUCUAUAAUGAGACCUUUCUUGUAUGUACUCAUUUGCUCUGAGCCAGG